rnacentral:rRNA from 1 species
UACGUAGGGUGCGAGCGUUAAUCGGAAUUACUGGGCGUAAAGCGUGCGCAGGCGGCGCGUUAAGACAGGUGUGAAAGCCCCGAGCUUAACUUGGGAAUUGCGCUUGUGACUGGCGUGCUGGAGUGUGGCAGAGGGAGGUGGAAUUCCACGUGUAGCAGUGAAAUGCGUAGAGAUGUGGAGGAACACCGAUGGCGAAGGCAGCCCCCUGGGCCAACACUGACGCUCAGGCACGAAAGCGUGGGGAGCAAACAGG